GGCCAUGUGGUCUAGUGGUUAUGAUUCUCGCUUAGGGUGCGAGAAGGUCCCGGAUUCGAUCUCCGGCCAUGGCCC
rnacentral:tRNA from 1 species